rnacentral:lncRNA from 1 species
AUGACAGAUAAAAGGUUGGAGUGAGAGAGAUGAAAGAGAAAGAAUUGAGAGGAAUGAGAGAGGUGAGUAAGGGUUUGAGAGUUUUUUUUUUUUAGAGCAAGUGUUUUUGAUUGUUUUUAAUUGGAGCUACACUAGAGAUGACAGAAAAAAAGGUUUGAGUGAGAGAGAUGAAAGAGAAAGGAUUGAGAGGAAUGAGAGAGGUGAGUAAGGGUUUGGGGGUUUGUUUUUUUUUUUUUUUAGAGCCAGUGUUUCUGAUUUUUUAAUUGGAGCUACAGUAAAGAUGACAGAGAAAAGGUUGGAGUGAGAGAGAUGAAAGAGAAAGGAUUGAAAGGAAUGAGAGAGAGGUGAGUAAGGGUUUUGGAUUUUUCUUUUUAUUUAUUUAUUUUAUUUUUUUUAGUUUUGAGAAUGAAAAUUAUUUAAAUAUCCUUUACUUUAAAACUUAGAAUUCAUAAUAUAUGAGGAUAUUUUUGUCUACUAUAAUCCGGUAGUUUAAGAAAAAUUUAAUUAUUUUCAGUUGAUUUCUUAGUAAAUUUUUGUUAUUUCAUUAAAUAUUAAA